GUACACGCUGUGACUAGCAUAUCAAUAAGCGGAGGAAAAGAAACUAACAAGGAUUCCCUUAGUAACGGCGAGUGAAGCGGGAAGAGCUCAAAUUUGAAAUCUUCAAGGUUUUACCUUGACGAAUUGUAGUUUAAAGAAGAGUUUUCUGCUGAAGUUUUGGUAAAAGUUCUUUGGAAUAGGACAUCAUAGAGGGUGAGAAUCCCGUAUUUGACCAUUAUUUUCAGCUUUGUGAUACACUUUCAAAGAGUCGGAUUGUUUGGGAAUGCAGUCCAAAAUGGGUGGUAAAUUUCAUCUAAAGCUAAAUAUUGGCGAGAGACCGAUAGCGAACAAGUACCGUGAGGGAAAGAUGAAAAGAACUUUGAAAAGGGAGUUAAACAGUACGUGAAAUUGUCAAAAGGGAAGCGUUUGACACCAGUGUUGUUUUCUCGAAAAUCAAUUAAAAAUGGCUCGAUUUUGUAUUGUUUGAGACCUUAAAAGCUCACUGUACAUUUUUCGUGUCUUUUUUAAUGCACUUUUCGUUUAACAAGUCAACAUCAGUUUCUUUUGUUGUAAAAGGGUCAUUGGAAGGUGGCUUUCUUUUCGGAGAAAGUGUUUAUAGCCUUUGGCCUCUGCAAUCGGAGAGACUGAGGUCUGCAGCGUAGACUCUUCGGGGUUAGAUACAUUUGUGCUAAGUUAUAGCUUUUUAUAGACAACUUGUUGACUAUAAUUAGUCUUGUAGCUUACUCGCUUAUGCUAUUUUACCUACGCUUAGGAUGUUGAUCUACAGAGCGAGAGU
rnacentral:rRNA from 1 species